UCAGUUGGCUCUUGUAAUAGCAAGACUCUAUGAGUCUGAAUUUGAUACAUCUGCAGCAUAUAAAUCUAUUUUACGUAAAAAAGUUUUGGGAAUCGAUUCUCCUGACAGUGAACUGUGUUCAUUGAACAUAAAUAUGCAUCACGAUCCUUUUCUUCGGAGCAUGGCAUAUUGGAUUUUGGAAGAUUAUAGUGGUGCUCUGGAAACAUUAAUAAAGCAACCUAUCAGAGAGAAUGAUGAUCAAGUUUUAUCAUCCUGUAAUCCUACAGUUUUUAAUUUCUACAAUUAUCUGAGAACACAUCCUCUUUUGCUGAAACGUCAUUUUGGAUCAUCUGAUACAUUUUCCACACAUAUGAGUCUAACAGGAAAAAGUGGACUGGCAGGAACAAUUAAUUUAAGUGAAAGACGAUUAUUUUUUACCACUGCCAGUGCUCAUUUAAAAGCUGGCUGCCCAAUGUUGGCUUUGGAAGUAUUAUCAAAGAUGCCUAAAGUCAUCAAGAAAACAAGACCUUUUUAUAGAGCUUCUGGUUUUCUGGAUACUAGUAAAGACUGUUCUCCUUCUUCUCCAUUAAAGUUGGAUGCAAG
rnacentral:sRNA from 1 species